UACGAGGGGGGCGAGCGUUGUUCGGAAUUAUAGGGCGUAAAGGGUGCGUAGGCGGUUCGGUAAGUUUCGUGUGAAAUCUUCGGGCUCAACUCGAAGUCUGCACGAAAAACUGCCGGGCUUGAGUAUGGGAGAGGUGAGUGGAAUUCCCGGUGUAGCGGUGAAAUGCGUAGAUAUCUGGAGGAAGGCCGGUGGCGAAGGCGGCCAUCUGGCGCUGAACUGACACUGAGGCGCGAAAGCGUGGGGAGCAAAC
rnacentral:rRNA from 1 species